rnacentral:rRNA from 1 species
UAGGGAAUCUUCCGCAAUGGGCGCAAGCCUGACGGAGCAACGCCGCGUGUGUGAAGAAGGUCUUCGGAUCGUAAAGCACUGUUGUUAGAGAAGAACGACCGCUAGAGUAACUGUUAGCGGAGUGACGGUAUCUAACCAGAAAGCCACGGCUAACUACGUGCCAGCAGCCGCGGUAAUACGUAGGUGGCAAGCGUUGUCCGGAUUUAUUGGGCGUAAAGCGAGCGCAGGCGGUCAAUUAAGUCUGAUGUGAAAGCCCCCGGCUCAACCGGGGAGGGUCAUUGGAAACUGGUUGACUUGAGUGCAGAAGAGGAGAGUGGAAUUCCAUGUGUAGCGGUGAAAUGCGUAGAUAUAUGGAGGAACACCAGUGGCGAAGGCGACUCUCUGGUCUGUAACUGACGCUGAGGCUCGAAAGCGUGGGUAGCAAACAGG